GUUGACUGUUGGUAAAAUUUGAAAAUUUAAGAAUUAGAUUUAUUAGCGUUGGAUUAUUAUAUUAUAGUUAGGACAAGUUCUCGUUUCAAGAGAAAAAUUAAAUUUAACGUGAUUAUAUUCGAAACACGUGGCGCUCGACGAUCGAUACGUGGUGCCAUCUAGUAGCGAGUUGGAAAACUCGUAAACGACAACAGCAUUUUACGUGAGAGAAACGAAGUAAAUAUUAUCGUGAAAAAAAAAUAUCGUUAAAAACUUACCUUUAUCUCUGCCAGUAGACGAUAGUGAAACUUCUGAUAAUUUGAAUGAAUCACUGAUAAGAACAAUAAUAGUAAAUAAAUCGUGACACGUGCUUUUAAAAAAUACGUAAUAACCAAAAUCUAUUUGUAUUCGUGAAAGAAAGGUUAUAGAUCGCGAUCAUUUUCUCUCGGUAUAAAAUAAAAAAAAGGAUACGUCUCAAACUUGUGCAAGAAAAUCCAUUGUAUUUCGGUAGAAAUCUUCUCGUGAGGGCUGCCAUGUUCCUAGUCGACAGAAAACUAAGUUGAUCUUGGCGAGUCGCAUUUUAUCUCGUGCUGAUUUGACCUCGCAUAAAAGUGAGAGGUUAGGAACAGCAUCGAUCGGGCAUAAAUCGAGAAAAAGGUCGUCGACUCACCUGAAACGCGAGGCAGGCGAAGGUGAGACCGAGGCAGAGAGAGAGAAACGGGGCGAUCAGGACGGAGAGGAACA